GUGUCAGCAGCCGCGGUAAUACUGAGGGCGCAAGCGUUGUUCGGAAUUACUGGGCGUAAAGGGCAGGUAGGUGGUCUGUUAAGUCUUCUGUGAAAAUCCGGGGCUCAACCCCGCGAAAUGCAGGUGAAACUGGCAGACUUGAGACCGGUAGAGGCUAGCGGAAUUCCUGGUGUAGCGGUGGAAUGCGUAGAUAUCAGGAAGAACACCUGUGGCGAAGGCGGCUAGCUGGGCCGGAUCUGACGCUCAUCCGCGAAAGCGUGGGGAGCAAACAGGAUUAGAUACCCUGGUAGUCCACGCCGUAAACGAUGGGCACUAGGUACUGGGUCUAUAGACGGAUUCAGUGCCGCAGCUAACGCAUUAAGUGCCCCGCCUGGGGAGUACGGUCGCAAGGCUGAA
rnacentral:rRNA from 1 species